rnacentral:misc_RNA from 1 species
GAUGAAGAACGCAGCGAAAUGCGAUACGUAAUGUGAAUUGCAGAAUUCAGUGAAUCAUCGAGUCUUUGAACGCACAUUGCGCCCCCUGGUAUUCCGGGGGGCAUGCCUGUCCGAGCGUCAUUGCUGCCCUCAAGCCCGGCUUGUGUGUUGGGUCUCGUCCCCCUUCCCGGGGGGACGGGCCCGAAAGGCAGCGGCGGCACCGCGUCCGGUCCUCGAGCGUAUGGGGCUUUGUCACCCGCUCUGUAGGCCCGGCCGGCGCUUGCCGAUCAACCAAAACUUUUUUCCAGGUUGACCUCGGAUCAGGUAGGGAUACCCGCUGAACUUAAGCAUAUCAAUAAGCGGAGGA